rnacentral:rRNA from 1 species
AGUGAACGCUGGCGGUAGGCCUAACACAUGCAAGUCGAACGGCAGCACAGUAAGAGCUUGCUCUUACGGGUGGCGAGUGGCGGACGGGUGAGGAAUACAUCGGAAUCUACUUUUUCGUGGGGGAUAACGUAGGGAAACUUACGCUAAUACCGCAUACGACCUACGGGUGAAAGCAGGGGAUCUUCGGACCUUGCGCGAUUGAAUGAGCCGAUGUCGGAUUAGCUAGUUGGCGGGGUAAAGGCCCACCAAGGCGACGAUCCGUAGCUGGUCUGAGAGGAUGAUCAGCCACAAUGGAACUGAGACACGGUCCAGACUCCUACGGGAGGCAGCAGUGGGGAAUAUUGGACAAUGGGCGCAAGCCUGAUCCAGCCAUACCGCGUGGGUGAAGAAGGCCUUCGGGUUGUAAAGCCCUUUUGUUGGGAAAGAGAAGCAGCAGGUUAAUACCCCGCUGUUCUGACGGUACCCAAAGAAUAAGCACCGGCUAACUUCGUG